UACGGAGGGUGCAAGCGUUAUCCGGAUUCAUUGGGUUUAAAGGGUACGUAGGCGGAAUGAUAAGUCAGUGGUGAAAGCCCGCAGCUUAACUGCGGAACUGCCAUUGAUACUGCCAUUCUUGAGUGCAGCUGAGGCAGGCGGAAUGUGACAUGUAGCGGUGAAAUGCAUAGAUAUGUCACAGAACACCGAUUGCGAAGGCAGCUUACCAAACUGUAACUGACGCUCAGGUACGAAAGCGUGGGGAGCAAACAGG
rnacentral:misc_RNA from 1 species